rnacentral:rRNA from 1 species
UACGUAGGGUGCGAGCGUUAAUCGGAAUUACUGGGCGUAAAGCGUGCGCAGGCGGUUUUGUAAGCCAGAUGUGAAAUCCCCGGGCUUAACCUGGGAAUGGCAUUUGGGACUGCAAGGCUCGAGUGCGGCAGAGGAGACUGGAAUUCCUGGUGUAGUAGUGAAAUGCGUAGAUAUCAGGAGGAACACCGAUGGCGAAGGCGGCAUCCUGGACCGGUAUUGACGCUGAGGCGCGAAAGCCAGGGGAGCAAACGGG